rnacentral:rRNA from 1 species
UACGUAGGUCGCAAGCGUUGUCCGGAAUUACUGGGUGUAAAGGGAGCGUAGGCGGGAAUGCAAGUUGAAUGUAUAAUCCAUGGGCUCAACCCAUGUUCGCGUUCAAAACUGCAUUUCUUGAGUGGAGUAGAGGCAGGCGGAAUUCCUAGUGUAGCGGUGAAAUGCGUAGAUAUUAGGAGGAACACCAGUGGCGAAGGCGGCCUGCUGGGCUCUAACUGACGCUGAGGCUCGAAAGCGUGGGGAGCAAACAGG